GACGAACGCUGGCGGCGUGCCUAAUACAUGCAAGUCGAACGCUGAAGGAGGAGCUUGCUUCUCUGGAUGAGUUGCGAACGGGUGAGUAACGCGUAGGUAACCUGCCUGGUAGCGGGGGAUAACUAUUGGAAACGAUAGCUAAUACCGCAUAAGAGUAGAUGUUGCAUGACAUUUGCUUAAAAGGUGCAAUUGCCUCACUACCAGAUGGACCUGCGUUGUAUUAGCUAGUUGGUGGGGUAACGGCUUACCAAGGCGACGAUACAUAGCCGACCUGAGAGGGUGAUCGGCCACACUGGGACUGAGACACGGCCCAGACUCCUACGGGAGGCAGCAGUAGGGAAUCUUCGGCAAUGGACGGAAGUCUGACCGAGCAACGCCGCGUGAGUGAAGAAGGUUUUCGGAUCGUAAAGCUCUGUUGUAAGAGAAGAACGAGUGUGAGAGUGGAAAGUUCACACUGUGACGGUAUCUUACCAGAAAGGGACGGCUAACUACGUG
rnacentral:rRNA from 1 species